rnacentral:snRNA from 1 species
UGUCUUUGGGUAGACCCUCUGU